CAUUUGAAAAGGCUCAAGGAUAUAGAAGAACCUUGGCUACAAAUUCAGGGAAGAUUUCACUUAUAAUGAGAAAUAAUCACCAUUAUUAUAUACAAUGAGAAAACAGUUAUGGAAGAAAUAGAAAGAAUUACCCGAAACGGAGGAUUUGGAAGACAAUGAGACAAAAGUAUAAAGAAGAAGAAAUUGGAGAUAUAAUGACUGCCUAUUUCUUUGAUGAACCCAUCAAAAACGGCUUGAAAAUUAAAGAAAUUGUAAAAUGCUGUAACGGAGGAAUUGAAACUGUAAAAGAUGCAAG
rnacentral:lncRNA from 1 species